ACCGUGAGGGAAUGGUGAAAAGUACCCCGGGAGGGGAGUGAAAUAGUACCUGAAACCGUGUGCUUACAAGCCGUUGGAGCCUUUUGGGGUGACAGCGUGCCUUUUGAAGAAUGAGCCUGCGAGUUAGUGUUAUGUCGCGAGGUUAACCCGUGUGGGGUAUCCGUAGCGAAAGCGAGUCUGAAUAGGGCGUUUGAGUGGCAUGACCUAGACCCGAAGCGGAGUGAUCUAUCCAUGGCCAGGUUGAAGCGACGGUAAGACGUCGUGGAGGACCGAACCCACUUCAGUUGAAAAUGGAGGGGAUGAGCUGUGGAUAGGGGUGAAAGGCCAAUCAAACUCUGUGAUAGCUGGUUCUCCCCGAAAUGCAUUUAGGUGCAGCGUUACGUGUUUCUUGCCGGAGGUAGAGCUACUGGAUGGCCGAUGGGCCUUCACGGGUUACUGACGUCAGCUAAACUCCGAAUGCCGGUAAGUGAGAGCGUAGCAGUGAGACAGUGGGGGAUAAGCUUCAUUGUCGAGAGGGAAACAGCCCAGACCACCAACUAAGGCCCCUAAGCGUGUGCUAAGUGGGAAAGGAUGUGGAGUUGCUUAGACAACCAGGAGGUUGGCUUAGAAGCAGCCAUCCUUGAAAGAGUGCGUAACAGCUCACUGGUCAAGUGAUUCUGCGCCGAUAAUGUAGCGGGGCUCAAGUACACCGCCGAAGUUGUGGCAAUGACCCUUUGGGGUUGUUGGGUAGGGGAGCGUCGUGUGGCCGUUGAAGCUGCGGUGUAAACCAGUGGUGGAGGCUAUGCGAGUGAGAAUGCAGGCAUGAGUAGCGAAAGAUGAGUGAGAAACUCAUCCGCCGGAUGAUCAAGGGUUCCAGGGUCAAGUUAAUCUGCCCUGGGUUAGUCGGGGCCUAAGGCGAGGCCGACAGGCGUAGUCGAUGGAUAACGGGUUGAUAUUCCCGUACCGGUGAAAAACCGCCCAUACUGAUAUUGUGAUGCUAACCAUGCGAAGCAUGAUGUGCAGGCUUUUGUUUGUGUGUUGUGUGGGUUGUGGGACCCGAUCUUUGGAGGUAAACGUGUUAACAGGUGUGACGCAGGAAGGUAGCCAAGCCACGCGAUGGUUGUCGUGGUCUAAGCGUGUAGGGUUGUCGGUUGUUAAAUGCGCCGGCUGUGUGCCUGAGACGUGAUGGGACCCCGUUUUUGGGGGAUUUGGUGAUCCUAUGCUGCCGAGAAAAGCAUCGGCGUGAGGUUUUAGCCGCCCGUACCCUAAACCGACACAGGUGAUCAGGUAGAGAAUACUAAGGCGAUCGAGAGAAUCAUGGUUAAGGAACUCGGCAAAAUGCCCCCGUAACUUCGGGAGAAGGGGGACCUUGAGCGUGAUGGGCACUUGCUGCCUGGAGCGUGUAUGGGUCGCAGAGACCAGGGGGAAGCGACUGUUUAUCAAAAACACAGGUCCGUGCGAAGUCGUAAGACGAUGUAUACGGACUGACUCCUGCCCGGUGCUGGAAGGUUAAGAGGAUUGGUUAGCCUUUUUUGGGCGAAGCUGAGAAUUUAAGCCCCAGUAAACGGCGGUGGUAACUAUAACCAUCCUAAGGUAGCGAAAUUCCUUGUCGGGUAAGUUCCGACCUGCACGAAUGGAGUAACGACUUCCCUACUGUCUCAACCAUGAACUCGGCGAAAUUGCAGUACGAGUAAAGAUGCUCGUUUCGCGCAGCAGGACGGAAAGACCCCGUGACCUUUACUAUAGUUUGGUAUUGGUGUUUGGUUUGGCUUGUGUAGGAUAGGUGGGAGACUGUGAAGCAUGGACGCUAGUUUGUGUGGAGUCGUUGUUGAAAUACCACUCUGGUCAAUCUGGAUGUCUAACUUCGGGCCAUGAUCUGGUUCAGGGACAGUGCCUGAUGGGUAGUUUAACUGGGGCGGUUGCCUCCUAAAGUGUAACGGAGGCGCCCAAAGGUUCCCUCAGCCUGGUUGGCAAUCAGGUGUUGAGUGUAAGUGCACAAGGGAGCUUGACUGUGAGACUGGCAGGUCGAGCAGGGACGAAAGUCGGGACUAGUGAUCCGGCGGUACGUUGUGGAACGGCCGUCGCUCAACGGAUAAAAGGUACCUCGGGGAUAACAGGCUGAUCUUGCCCAAGAGUCCAUAUCGACGGCAUGGUUUGGCACCUCGAUGUCGGCUCGUCGCAUCCUGGGGCUGGAGUCGGUCCCAAGGGUUGGGCUGUUCGCCCAUUAAAGCGGUACGCGAGCUGGGUU
rnacentral:rRNA from 1 species